UAGGAAAUGAUUUUCAGAAAAUAUGAUUUUAUAAAAAUAAAAUAUUUAUUAAUUUGCUAACAGGUCCCUCAGUUAAUUAGUUACCACAGUAAAAGUAAUUCCCUCAUUUGAAUUGAUAUGACUAUUGAUGUUCCCUCUGCUUUGAUAACUGAUACACUUCAAUAUUUUCAUCAUUUCUCAACACCAUCUUCAUCCUUCCCAAAGCAGAACAUUCCAGAGAAAGAGAAGUGUGAGAGACUGAGUGGCGGAGACGACGAGAGUGAUCGACGGUGACCGACGGUGGAACGACGGUGGAACGCGACGACGAGGACCGACGGUGGAACGCGACGACGUGAGAGAAGAAGGUGCCGACGAUCUUCACGAUUUCAACAUCACGAGAUGAGUCAAACAAGUGCUUAUGGCCCUUACACACCUGGUUUCAAUACUGUGAUAAAGUUAAACCUGGAUGACGUGGAAGUUCCAUUAGAGUUUAUUGCACAAUACAAAUCUAUGCUGGGAAAUCAUGUUGUGGUUAGGGAUCCUGUAGGGGGGAGUUCACCUUUCAGUUGGUUGUGGGUAAUAAUGGAGGUUUGCUCAUUGAUGUUGUGGUCAAGUUUGUAAAAAUGUAUGAUUUGAAACGAAAUCAUUGGGUAGAUUUCUCCUAUUGUGGAAAGAACAAGUUUUCUAUCAGGAUAUUUGAUAGAAUG